GUCCGGAAUCAUUGGGCGUAAAGCGCGUGUAGGCGGUCCGGUAAGUCCGCUGUGAAAGUCGGGGGCUCAACCCUCGGAUGCCGGUGGAUACUGUCGGGCUUGAGUACGGAAGAGGCGAGUGGAAUUCCUGGUGUAGCGGUGAAAUGCGCAGAUAUCAGGAGGAACACCAAUUGCGAAGGCAGCUCACUGGGACGUUACUGACGCUGAGACGCGAAAGCGUGGGGAGCAAACAGG
rnacentral:rRNA from 1 species